rnacentral:rRNA from 1 species
AUUGAACGCUGGCGGCAUGCUUUACACAUGCAAGUCGAACGGUAACAGGCCGCAAGGUUCUGACGAGUGGCGGACGGGGGAGUAAUGCAGCGGAACGUGCCCAGUCGUGGGGGAUAACUACGCGAAAGAGUGGCUAAUACCGCAUACGAUCUAUUGAUGAAAGCGGGGGACCGUAAGGCCUCGCGCGAUUGGAGCGGCCGAUGUCAGAUUAGGUAGGUGGUGGGGUAAAGGCUCACCAAGCCAACGAUCUGUAGCUGGUCUGAGAGGACGACCAGCCACACUGGGACUGAGACACGGCCCAGACUCCUACGGGAGGCAGCAGUGGGGAAUUUUGGACAAUGGGCGCAAGCCUGAUCCAGCCAUGCCGCGUGGAGGAAGAAGGCCUUCGGGUUGUAAACUGCUUUUGUACGGAACGAAAAGCAUCUGGUUAAUACCCGGGGCUACUGACGGUACCGAAAGAAUAAGCACCGGCUAACUACGUG